rnacentral:lncRNA from 1 species
CUCGGCUCACCGCAACCUCCGCCUCCAAGGUUUAAGCGAUUCUCCUGCCUCAGCCUCCCGACUAGCUGGGAUUACAGGCAUUCACCACCAAGCCCGUCUAAUUUUAUAUUUUUAGUAGAGACGGGAUUUCCCCAUGUUGGUCAGGUUGGUCUCGAGCUCCCGACCUCAGGUGAUCGCCCGCCUCGACCUCCCAAAGUGCUGGGAUUACAGGCGUGAACCACCGUGCCCGGCCUUGGCCGCAUGUGUUUUGAAUUUUGCUGCCCGGAAUUCACUGCGAGGACUGGGAUCACCCGUCACCCCGCCCUGGUCUACGGAAAAUGAAAUGUGUUUACUGAUAUAGAAACGGAAUAACGGCGCUGUGGGCUGGGGAGGGCCGAGCUGCCUUCAGGCUUCUGGUCUCCAGCUGCAGGGCACUCACACCUGCCCGUUAUGAAAAUGCAGACCCGCAGGGCAGGAAUUCCGAGUCCGGGCUGGAGCGUGAUCUGGAAUCCGGCUCUCUUGAAACAGCACCGCGGAGGAUUCGGAUCCGGGAGCUGGGACAGUUAUAUUCAUCAGAACAGCACGGUGUCAAGGCCCUCACCCCCAGAAAGCUUAGGAGACACUGUUUUAUGGAGGAGAGUGAGAUUGGAGGAAGCCCUGACUCCAGGUCUCCUGAUCCUUCCUACACAAAGCGAAGCUGAAAAAAAGUGCAGGACACUCCAUUUCCUCCUGGGACCAGACAGGGAAGCCAGAGCCACCAUGGAUGUCAAAUUCCGGCAAGGAAACACCAGUAUAGCAAAAUCUCCACAUCACAUUUUAAAGCUCACACAAUGGCUCAAAGAGAACCCACAUCAAAAAACCGAAUUCCUAGCUCAGGUGAGAUCACCAAAGUUGCCUGUGAGGCUUCGUGGAACCUGCAGGUAGAAAGGACAUCUUUAUUUCGAGCUGCAGCCCAGUUGCUUCUGCG